UGCUGAGGACUUGCAGCAUGUGGGUAACAUCUCCUGUAGAAGAAGACAACUUAAGUAAUUCAUGUUAACUAAUGAUGGUGUGGUCCCUGUAGGCCCCUACCUGAGGAUGAACAGACUGGUGGGCCUGUGGGCCUGCUGUCCCCCUGUCACGGACACAGAUCCAUAGAUGACACCAUGACAAAUACGAAGCAGAUGCAGAAGGUGAUGCCAGGUCAGAAAAGAUCUUGUUUCUCUCUGCACAUCGCAAGUUCUUCAAAGAACAUGUCUUCUGAAACAAUCUGAUUAAUGUGGAAUAGCAGCUCCAUACAGUUGUUACUGCUAAUUUUCAUGUUAUUUUCAGACUUGAUAUGUAUAGAGUGUUUAUUUAUUACACAUUUUCACUGCUGUUUGAAGUAGUAAGGGAGACGAAAUGCAGAUGAAAACAAAUGGAUUAAAUUCAAGUGUGUGAUGCAGCUACUGCUUCCUGUUUGUCCUAUAGCAGAACUUGCUGUUACAAAUGGGAGGACUGACUAGUUCCUGAGCUGAAGCAUUUACAGAUGAACGUACUAAGGUAACUGAAAAAGUGUAUCAGCUUACUUGACUAUGUUAGAUUAUGAACUGCAGUGGGUUUGGAGCUGUUGUCUAGCUUCAGCACCUUCUUGUCUAGCAACAGCACUUACUGUCCGAGCAAGGGUGUAUAUCUUGCAUCUUCAGCCUCUAAGUUGAAUCCAUCAAUGUUCACAAGUCAAAACUGCAAAAUAUGUAGUUGUAAAGUUUUAGGAAUAAUAACAUAAGGUGCAUUGUUUGCUGUAAGUGCUCCUUUCAUCUGGAAAGGAUAAUAGCAUUUUGUACGAUUCUGUUGUGGAUCUUAGUGUUGAGGUAUGAUGAGGAUGAGAGUAGUUUUCUGUGAGGAGACAGUGAUAGAAUGCGUUAAGGCCAUGGGAUUGUGCUUGCACUCUGUGGAGAAAAAUAUGUAGUCAGUAAACUUGGCUUUGAACGCUCUCUGUCUGAAUGCAAAAAGACUUUCUUUCCAUUUCAUUUGAGGCACGGAGGAUUCAUAAUGCAGUAUCUGCCAGGUGCAAAGACAUGAUUUCACUGGUCAAAGCUGUUAAGUCAUCCAAGUGCUAAUGAAGUAGACCUCAAGGUUCUCUUAAAGACUGCUUAAUUUCCAUCAUUAGUGAUUAAGUACAUGAAGGUUCUUAAGAAAAUUGUGACUUCAGAAGGAUGAACAGAAAAGCUGUGUAUUUGCAUGUGUCUAUAUACAAAUGCUUCACACAGUCCGUGUGAAGGCUGUACUUUUUGAUGCUUUAUGCAACAGCAUUUAGAACAUGAAAUAGGGAAUUCUAAAGUGAGAGGAGUAUUUUGGAAAUGUGCAACUAGUUAGAGGCUAAAUUAGAACUAUGUUGGCCAACAGUGAUGAUAAUUGGUUGUAAAUAUAUAUAGACAUUUUAAAUUCAGUUUAGAAUAAAUGUACCCUAUAAAACUUGACAUCUUCAAUAAAUUCACAACACAUUUAAUUAGUCAUAGAGAUACUUCCAUGACAUGAUAAAAUUCUCCUUAAAAAACCAACACAGUUGCUAAAUAAUACU